GAAAGUAAAGAAGGGCGCAUGGCGGAUGCCUUGGCUCUCGGAGGCGAUGAAGGACGUGAUAAGCUGCGAUAAGCUUUGGGGAGGUGCAAAUGACCUUUGAUCCAGAGAUUUCCGAAUGGGACAACCCAAUAUCUUGAAGAGGUAUUAUCCAACGUUGUUGGAGGCUAACGCAGGGAACUGAAACAUCUUAGUACCUGCAGGAAAAGAAAAUAAACAAUGAUUCCCCCAGUAGUGGCGAGCGAACGGGGAACAGCCCAAACCAUCCAUGUUACGGCAUGUGUGGGGUUGUAGGACUACGCCGUUGCAUGAAGACAUCAGAGAAGAACUUUCUGGAAAGAAAGACCAUAGAGCAUGACAGUUGCGUAUUCGAAUGUUGUCGAAGCAUAGUAGUAUCCUGAGUAGCGCGGAGCACGAGGAAUUCUGCGUGAAUCUGCCGGGACCAUCCGGUAAGGCUAAAUACUCCCGAGAGACCGAUAGCGAACCAGUACCGUGAGGGAAAGGUGAAAAGCACUUCGAACAGAAGAGUGAAAUAGUUCCUGAAACCGUGCGCCUACAAGCGGUCGGAGCUCGUUAAUGAGUGACGGCGUGCCUUUUGCAUAAUGAACCUACGAGUUGCCUUUGCCGGCAAGGUUAAGUGUGACGACACACGUAUCCGAAGCGAAAGCGAGUCUGAACAGGGCGUAUAGUCGGCAGUGGCAGACGCGAAACCAAGUGAUCUACCCUUGGCCAGGUUGAAGGCUGGGUAACACCAGCUGGAGGACCGCACCAAUAAGCGUUGAAAAGCUUCUGGAUGAGCUGAGGGUAGGGGUGAAAGGCUAAUCAAACUUGGAGAUAGCUCGUACUCCCCGAAAUGCAUUUAGGUGCAGCCUUGCGGGUUACUGAUGUGAGGUAGAGCGACUGAUAAGAUGCGAGGGCUUCACCGCCUAUCAAGUCUUGACAAACUCCGAAUGCGCAUCAGUUCUACCGCAGGAGUGAGGGCAUGGGUGCUAAGGUCCGUGCCCGAGAGGAGAAGAAUCCGGACCACCUGCUAAGGUCCCGAAAUGACAGCUAAGUUAAACUAACGAAGUCUGACUGCUAAGACAGCUAGGAUGUUGGCUUGGAAGCAGCCAUUCAUUUAAAGAGUGCGUAACAGCUCACUAGUCGAGGAGUUUGGCGUGGAUAAUAAUCGGGCAUCAAGCAAUUUACCGAAGCUAUGGGAUCAGUAAUGAUCGGUAGGGGAGCAUUCCACUCUGCGUCGAAGGUGAAGCGUGAGCUUUGCUGGAGCGUGUGGAAAAGCAAAUGUAGGUAUAAGUAACGAUAAAGGGGGUGAGAAACCCCCUCGCCGAAAGACUAAGGUUUCCUGAUCAACGCUAAUCGGAUCAGGGUCAGUCGGGUCCUAAGGCUCAGCCGAACGGCGAUGCCGAUGGCAGAAACGGUUAAUAUUCCGUUACUACCUUCAGGAGUGACGUGGAGACGCAGUAGUGACAGUGCCGCCAUCUGACGGAAUAGAUGGUUGAAGGGUGUAGGAGUCGAUCAUGGCAGGCAAAUCCACCAUGAGAUCCGAACCUGAUAGUAUGCCGCGUCCUUCGGGACAAGGCAAUAGUGCGCGUAAGCAUGCUGCCGAGAAAAUCCGCUAAACUUAAUCCUGCAGGUACCCGUACCGCAAACGGACACACGUAGUCGGGAUGAAUAUUCUAAGGCGCUUGAGUGAUUCACGGUUAAGGAACUAGGCAAACUGACCCUGUAACUUCGGGAUAAAGGGUCCCUACCCUUUUAUGGGAGGGCGCAGAGAAUCGGUCCAGGCAACUGUUUAACAAAAACACAGGGCUGUGCGAAGUCGAAAGACGCUGUAUACAGCCUGACACCUGCCCGGUGCUGGAAGGUUAAGAGGAGAUGUCAUCGCAAGAGAAGCAUUGAAUUGAAGCCCCAGUAAACGGCGGCCGUAACUAUAACGGUCCUAAGGUAGCGAAAUUCCUUGUCGGGUAAGUUCCGACCUGCACGAAUGGUGUAA
rnacentral:rRNA from 1 species